AGAUCAUAGGAUACAAAACUUAAAUUUGAUCAAUAAAUUUCUAUUUGUUAGAUACAAUCUAAAGUGAUUAAUAAAUUUCUAUUUAUUGCAGGCUUAGGAGAAUCAAUAUGCCAGAAAUGAUUCAAUUUGAUUAUUUAAUGAUUCUCUUCAUUUUCUUAAUUUUUGUUGUAACUAACAUUAUGGCAUGGAGGCCGGACUGCAAGGAGAAUAAUGACUGUCCAACAUUUUAUUGUGCAACUUGGAUAAAUACAUGCAUCAAAUUUAAAUGUUAUUGUAUUCGUCCAUGGGGUUGAUAUUGUAACUUUAAAGAAAGUUAAAAGCUCAGCUGAUAUAAUGAUUAUAUGGUCAUUGAUGUGAUCAUCUUUAGAGGUAAAUAAAGUCAUGGUUAUUUAAAACUAGAGUCGGCACUCACGUGUCAGUCCCUCUGUUUUUUCUACUGCGCUUAUGUAUAUGCUUGAAUAUAUAUCAUGCCAUACACAAAUAUAAUAUUAUUUUUUUUUGGUCAAGACAAAUAUAAUUUAUUUAACA